GACGAACGCUGGCGGCGUGCUUAACACAUGCAAGUCGAACGGUAAGGCCCUUCGGGGUACACGAGUGGCGAACGGGUGAGUAACACGUGGGUGAUCUGCCCUGCACUUCGGGAUAAGCCUGGGAAACUGGGUCUAAUACCGGAUAGGACCACUGCCUGCAUGGGUGGGGGUGGAAAGCUUUUGCGGUGUGGGAUGGGCCCGCGGCCUAUCAGCUUGGUGGGGGGGUGAUGGCCUACCAAGGCGACGACGGGUAGCCGGCCUGAGAGGGUGCCCGGCCACACUGGGACUGAGAUGCGGCCCAGAGUCCUACGGGAGGCAGCAGUGGGGAAUAUUGCACAGUGGGCGCAAGCCUGAUGCAGCGACGCCGCGUGAGGGAUGACGGCCUUCGGGUUGUAAACCUCUUUCAGCACCGACGAAGCGCAAGUGACGGUAGGUGCAGAAGAAGGACCGGCCAACUACGUGCCAGCCGCCGCAGUAA
rnacentral:rRNA from 1 species